UCGGGCGCGCCGUUGUUCAACCGUUGGCAAUUUGUUUGCAAAAGUAACUUGAUGCAGUUUGUUGGGUGGUAGUUGUAAUGCCUUUGGAGUGAAUCUCGCUAGGCUGUUGCUUUGUGAAAAAACUUUGUGUUGUGUCGUCACUGCAGAACAGCUAUGACGAGAGCGAGCACAAGCUUCGCGGGCCAGUCACAUGGGCCAGUCAUCAUGGAACCUGUUGCGAUAUGUGAGGGCAGAGGGCAAGCCGGGUGGAAGCCACGAGAUGUUAUCGCACGCUUCACGAACUUCGACCAAGUUGCACAUUGAUAUUACCGCCUUACUUUGGCAGCCGUGGCCAGAAAACAGCAGCUGACUUGCUGUUCCAUGCAUAGGGAUCUCGUACGCCUGUCAACCCACUUGCCUGAGGGAUCCACCUACGCGCAUGAGCCAAAAUGGCAGCAAAGCUUCGAAUCAAUGGGAGUCUCCAGGAGUGAAUAUGUGCCAUAUUUCGCACCAUGUCCUGGUGAGUCUGAGUGGCUGUCGCCGAAAAGCGUCACACCACUGUUUUUCGCCUUCACAUCAUCAAGCAGUGAUGUCUGCAACUUUUGCCACAUGUAAAUUCUGCCUGAAUUCAGCUCAAGUGAAGCCACAUUACAUAUGCCUGCUUGUGUAGGCAGUGGUAAAUAAAUCAUCACAGUACACUAUUUGAUCUGUUUCCCAUGAGCCAGACAUACGGCAAACUACAGCAGUGCAACUUUACGAGAAAUGUCGGUAAAGAAGCAGCAACGCAAGAAUUCUAACUCAGUUUCCUUGUUGCAUUGCAUUGAUGCAUACACAGAGGUGCCAUCUGUACGUUAUCAGCCACAAAUUGGCAGUCACAUUUGGAUGGACGGGAAAUGCCAAAGGGCCGUGUACUAUGCGAGGUCAGCACACGUUAAAAAACACCAGGUGGUUGAUAGUGCAGGAGCGUACCACUAUGGCAUCUCUUAUAAUCAUAUUGCAGUUUUGGGAUGUAAAACAUGAGAUAUUCUUGUCAGCCUCAAAUGCAGUCUAAAAGGCAUUUUAUUGAGUUUUCAGGCUGGUAGAAUUGCUGAAAUAGAAAAUGUUGCAAAAGGUGAUAUGGUUAUCUUGCAGGUUUUCUUUGCCAACAAGAAACAUCAUAGGUUCUGGCCACUUUGCCAAAGAUAUGU
rnacentral:misc_RNA from 1 species